UGAUUAUGCUACAGGAGUCUGCCGUCGCGUGCAGUAGGCGGUUCAAGAAAUUUGGGGAUAGACUGCUCUGGCGAUUGCGGCUGGCGGCGAGCAGCUAUGGAGAUCGCGGCGGCCGGACAGCGGCUCAAGCUGGUGAUUAGGGCGGCGAUGAGCGGCUGCAGCUUUGGAGAUCGCGGCGGCGGCGAGCUGCUGCAGCUGUGGGGAUCACGGCGGGCGGCGAGCAGCUACAGCUGUCAGCUGGGGAUAGGGGCGGCUUGAGCCGUGGCGAGCUAUGGGCGCCGUCGGUGCGUACGCGAGCGGCAGCAGUGUCGCGGACUCCGCGGCGUGAGGAGCUCGCGUACCGUCGGAGUCCGGCAUCGCCGCGUGUGGUGGCUACGGGCGGCGCUGGGUUUCCUCGGCGUCGUGGUGAGCAGGGGCAGCCCCGGCUGCCGUGGGCGUAGCACGCAGUUAGAUUUCGUCCCCAGCUGCAGAGGUGGAUCCACUGACCGCACUCGGACUCCACCUGCUUGCAGCACAGAACGUUCUGCCCUGGCUACAACAACGAUCGAGGAAGAGCGGCGUUGCAACGUUUUAGAUUUAGUCCAGGCAAUUACUGCUUGGAUUGAUUUUUUGCUGAAUUUGUUCGGAGCAAAAAGCAUUCUGGCUGCAAGUAGGUGUUCAAUUCUAGUUUUUGUUGCUUUAAUUAUCAAUGCAAAUUAGGGGCCGCAUCAAUUAGCUUGUGUGCACCAGUUCUAGUUCUUUGUGUGGCUAGCAUCCACCGUACACCUGUUGUAAAAUUCUUUAUCCGACAGUUUCUUUUCUGAACUAAGGUUGUGUGUUAGGACGUAGCCCACUUACCAGCUGCACCUCAUUUUUUCUCCCGAGUUUCUAAUCCAGCAUAUACGGUGGCGACUGUGUGAGCGGCGGGUGGAUUCAUAUGCGAGCGGCUGGUGGGCUCUGCACCGACCGUGUCCUCGGCAGCAUCGUGGUCAGCGGGUGGAAUCAGCGGCGCUGUUGUCGGCGGGUGGAAUCAGCGGCGCCGUGGUCGGCGGGCUAAACGGGUUGCGGUGUGGUCGCCGGUGGCAAUGCAACGUGGUGAGCGGCGUGUCGCAGGAGGCCGGUGGCUGCGGGCGGCAUUGGCAUCCAAGUGGCAUCGCCGCAUCGUGCAGAUUGCUCGCUUCUUCAGCAAAGGCGGCCGACGCCAAGUUUUUUCAACCAUCCAUGCAGCAGCUGUCGCCGGAGACAUUCUACUGUGUUUAAUGAUUUCAAUGCCAGAAACUCGAUGAGCUGAAUAUAUUAAGGCUAUUACAAGGAAGCACCUCUUUGUGGCCACUGUAGAGAUAGCAGUUGUACUUGUACCCUAGGCUCUUAUCGUCGAGUUCCUUGGCAGCUGUGGUUGGUACCAAUUGGUCUUGCUCUUUCUAGCACUCCUGGGAAAUCAUAUCGCUGUUCUAGAUCGUGCCUUCUCGGAUAUGUUGUUGUCUUCUUGGCAUGGAAGACUGCUGCGUGGCUUCUCCUCUGAACAUCUAAUGAAGCGACAAAAGUCGGCAUUGACGACAUUAGAUAGUUUCUUUUGUCAGGGUUUAUCAUGCCUCAUACAUGAGCUAUAAUUAUCUCUGAUUUGAAUUGUGUAUAUACUAGGCUUCACAUGUAAUUAUUGCGUCUACAGAAAUAUUAUGUGUAUUCCUUUCUUAUUAAAUCUCUCAUACACUAGGAUUUCGUAAGUUGCUAGAUUUGUAAUACACAUUAGGAUCAUGGUUUUACGGCGCAUAAGGCAAAUUAAGCCUUGUUAUGACACUAAUUUGUAAUACACAUUAGGAGUAUUUUUUUUAAUGGUGUGUAAUCAUGACGGCCAAUUUUUACAA